UUUCCGUAGGUGAACCCGCGGAAGGAUCAUUACUGAGUGAGGGCCCCUCGGGGUCCAACCUCCCACCCGUGUUUAACGAACCUUGUUGCUUCGGCGGGCCCGCCUCACGGCCGCCGGGGGGCAUCUGCCCCCGGGCCCGCGCCCGCCGAAGCCACCUGUGAACGCUGUCUGAAGUAUGCAGUCUGAGACAAUUAUUAAAUUAAUUAAAACUUUCAACAACGGAUCUCUUGGUUCCG
rnacentral:misc_RNA from 1 species